rnacentral:lncRNA from 1 species
UCCCUGUUUAAAAAGAAAUAGGCAGCACUGGUUGAGGUUGUGUAUCAACCAGAGUAGUGGACCACAUGUACUGAUUGGAUAAUCUAUAUAGACCAUCGUAAUCCUCAUCAAUCACUGUCAAAGAUCAUAUCAUCAUCUAGGCAAUUUUGUUAAAUAUACAACAUUGUUUGCAGCAGUAUAUUAGGAGAAGCAGAACUUCGUCAUCCUUGAUGUAUCAUCAAUCACUGUCAAAGAUAUCGUCAUCUCAGCAAAAAAAUUAAAUAUACAACAUUGUUUCCUGCAGUAUAUUAGGAAAAGCAGAACUUCGUAAUCCUUGAUGUAUCAUCAAUCACUGUCAAAGAUCAUAUCAUCAUCUAGGCAAUUUUGUUAAAUAUAGAACAUUGUUUGCUGCAGUAUAUUAGCAGAAGCAGAACUUAUUGCAAGGAACAUGUUGAUAGCACCAUAUCAAAUUGUAUUCAGUUUGCUGCAUACCAUAGUGAUGUGGAUACUUAUGAAAUAUGUGUAGCUAGAAAUUAGAAACUCUGUGAACCUAAACUGUUGUGGCACAAGUGACUAUUAUAUGGAUGGUUCUGGUUUUAUUAAGAUAGGAAGAUGGAAUAUGUUUUCUUCCAAACAUACAUGAACACCAUGGCCAUGAUAGAAACAGAACAUUCAUGCUGUAGAAACGGCAAUAGAAAUCCCACCUCCAAUAGGAAAAUUAACUCUGAAAUUACUACUUGAAAUGAGCCAUGGGUGGCAGCUGUAGGAUUCCAACUUACAGGUAGCCUCAUGAUAUUUACCUGUGGUUGGGAAAAGGCCUACUGGUACCAAAAAUAUUAUUCAACAUGCAAAGAAAACAGCUAGGUACACUAAACUAUGAAUGGAGAUAACACAUUAAAUUGUUCAUACCCCCAAAAACCAUUAACUCGCAGGUCAUGGUGGGUCUUUCCUACUUCACCUGAACCCUGUCACGAGUUAUCCUCUCAACCUGCUAGAAAUACCACAACCUCUUUCAAGUUUCAUCAAUCCUACACAAUCCACCAUAAAGAUGUUCAUUAUAAGAAAUACAGCCUAUAUUUAUAAUAGAGAAUACUGAAGCAUUGCAUGUAUACUCAGUCGCUAACCUCUUAUGGCCAUUUUCUCAAACAUUUGAUGAGCCACUUAAUAAAAGAAAUCAAUCCUGAUGGUCACAAAAUCAUCACAUACAUGCAGCACACAGAAUGAUGUUUUCAAUCUUCUGCUGCUUCUUUUGUACUUACACAAGCCUAGGAACAAAAUCAACACAUUAGUAUGAUCUAUCCAACAUCAGUCAUUGGAGUUGAGACAACCAAAAUUGGCUAACAAGUUGUAAACUAACUUUGGAAAUCUCAUGCUACAUAAACAUAUCAAGCAAUUCCUCUCCUCUUCACCACCCGUUUUUUUCCACUCAGAGAAAAAUUCACAUGUUUGUCAAGAAAUCAUAGUUAAAAAAGCGCGCCUAGGCUCUAGGCGUUGGCAAAACGCAUUGCGCAUAACUACAUUUAAUCCGCGCAUAAUUGCGCAUAAGCAUGUGCUUUAGUCAGUAAAGCGCAAGCCGGUGGCAAAACGCACAAUUAACGUCUAGCGCUUUUUUGAACUAUGCAAGAAACCAAAAGGAACCUAACCCAAGGAAGAAAAUAGCUUGCAGCCACACAGGCAUUCUAUCGAGCAGGUCAAAAGCAUGGGAGAAAGAAAGAGGCUCACCUUGGAACAAACGCACAGGAGAAGACAAAGCAGCAAACCAGAAGAUGAAAACGAAAUAAGAAGAGGAGAGCAUGAAUGAGUAGAUAACGCAAGCAAUGGAGGCGCGAAAUCAAUCCGGUGGAAGAGCACGUAGAUCCCUACCCUAACCACACAUAGAAAUGACCCUCUGGACAGGGUGGAUCACAUCCCUCUGGUUCGAUCCCGUGCAGCGUCGUGUUCUUGCGCCGCCA